GAUGAACGCUGGCGGCGUGCUUAAUACAUGCAAGUCGAACGGAGAGUAUAGCAAUAUAUUCUUAGUGGCGAACGGGUGAGUAACGCGUUGGUGACCUGCCCCGAAGUGGGGGACAACAGUUCGAAAGGACUGCUAAUACCGCAUGUGGUUGUUUGGAUUAGAUGCCUUACAACUAAAGGGGAAAUUCGCUUCGGGAGGGGCCUGCGUCCCAUCAGCUAGUUGGUAGGGUAAUGGCCUACCAAGGCGACGACGGGUAGGGGACCUGAGAGGGUGGCCCCCCACACUGGCACUGAAAUACGGGCCAGACACCUACGGGUGGCAGCAGUAGGGAAUAUUGCACAAUGGGCGAAAGCCUGAUGCAGCAACGCCGCGUGCACGAUGAAGGCCUUCGGGUUGUAAAGUGCUUUUCGGGGAGAUGAGGAAGGACAGUAUCCCCGGAAUAAGGCUCGGCUAACUACGUGCCAGCCGCCGCCGUAAAAC
rnacentral:rRNA from 1 species